ACCAGCAGCCAUAUCAUCCUGCAGCCCAAGACUGGUUGCCCACUGAAGCUAAGCAGGGUUGAGUCUGGGCAGUACCUGGAUGGGAGACCUCCUGGGAAAACUAGGUUGCUGCUGGAA
rnacentral:rRNA from 1 species